rnacentral:rRNA from 1 species
GACGAACGCUGGCGGCGCGCCUAACACAUGCAAGUCGAACGAGCGAGAGAGAGCUUGCUUUCUCGAGCGAGUGGCGAACGGGUGAGUAACGCGUGAGGAACCUGCCUCAAAGAGGGGGACAACAGUUGGAAACGACUGCUAAUACCGCAUAAGCCCACGGCUCGGCAUCGAGCAGAGGGAAAAGGAGCAAUCCGCUUUGAGAUGGCCUCGCGUCCGAUUAGCUAGUUGGUGAGGUAACGGCCCACCAAGGCGACGAUCGGUAGCCGGACUGAGAGGUUGAACGGCCACAUUGGGACUGAGACACGGUCCAGACUCCUACGGGAGGCAGCAGUGAGGAAUAUUGGGCAAUGGAGGCAACUCUGACCCAGCCAUGCCGCGUGAGUGAGAAGGUUUUCGAAUUGUAAAGCUCUUUCGGGUGUGAAGAUGAUGACGGUAACACCAGAAGAAGCCCCGGCAAACUUCGUG